UACAGAGGUCCCAAGCGUUGUUCGGAUUCAUUGGGCGUAAAGGGUGCGUAGGUGGCGCCGUAAGUCGGGUGUGAAAUUUCGGAGCUUAACUCCGAAACUGCAUUCGAUACUGUGGUGCUCGAGGACUGGAGAGGAGACUGGAAUUCAUGGUGUAGCAGUGAAAUGCGUAGAGAUCAUGAGGAAGACCAGUGGCGAAGGCGGGUCUCUGGACAGUUCCUGACACUGAGGCACGAAGGCCAGGGGAGCAAACGGG
rnacentral:rRNA from 1 species